GAGAGCCCAGUCCAGUCUGGACCAUACAAGACACUGUCUCAAAAAUAAAAAUAAAAAUAAAUUAAAAAUAAUAAUAAUAAUAAUAAAAAGAUGACCUCUGAGGGUCAGGUGCAGGGUUGCUUGAGUGAGGUCAUCCAGGGACGUGCAAGCCAGCUCUAAACACUGCAAACCCUUACUCAGCUGUACUCCAGCAGCAGUAAGCUCUAACAACCCCCAUCCGACUUGUCUUCAGAAUCCGAUGCUGGCCAUCACCCUCCAAGGCAUGCCCUCGGCUCAUCAUGCCUUGUGACAUUGUUCUGUUACCCAACAAUCCCAUUAUACCUUGAGCAAGCAUGACACAUGUACUGUGACUCAUCUAUUGUUCUGCCCUCCCUCAGCUCUGGCCUCCGUGGCACUGACUGUCCCUCGGCUGGCAUGUGUCAGAGUCUUGUUCUAUGGCGAUUUGUCAUAGGUCAUGUUCUUAUCUUCUAUUGCCCGGCGGAGUGGAGGAUCUCAGAGUUUGUAACCUCUGCAGGCUGGACUUCUCACGGCCUUCCGGGGAGACUGGCUUUUGUUUAUGGAUGAGAAGCAAAUGCUUUAAAGGUUUUUGUUUUUAACUUUGUGCUUAUGUGUGUGUCUGGGUGUCAGUAUGCGCGUGUGAGUUCAAGCGCCCACAGAGGGCGUCAGACUUCCUGGAGCAGGAGCUGGCAGGUGGCUAUGAAUGCGGAUGUGGCUGCUGGGUUCUGAAUUCCCGUCCUCUGCAGGGACCAUAAGGGCUCUUAACCAUAGAAGUGUUUCUCAGGCAAAAUAAAAAAAAAUCCUGUUCUUUACUUUCACAUGAAUGACUUUCGCCACAAUGAAGUGUUAUACUUUCCCAAGGAGAGCCCUUUGUCCCUAAGCUGGACUGUGGUGUAUGCCUGGCACCACGUGAAUUGCUAUGGCCAGAACCGGGUAAGGCCACAUUCCUCUGUCCCUUUAUAAUGUAUUAGUCUUGACGCGUGGAUAUGUGGGUAGUGACACCGGACCUCUGCUAGCCACAAGCCCAAGGAGAACGCUUGAUUGGGGCGGCAAACGCUGUUUCAAGGAAAAACUCUUUUUUUUUUUUUUUCUUUUUUUCGGAGCUGGGGACUGAACCCAGGGCCUUGCGCUUGCUAGGCAAGCGCUCUACCACUAAGCUAAAUCCCCAACCCCCAAAAACUCUUUUUUAAACUUAUUUUGAGACAGGGUCUUGGGAGCCUAAGCUCGCUACAAAAUCACUAUCUACUUCCCAGUCCCGAACUUCCGGUCCUCUGGCCUCCAUCAUUUACUCUCUGGGCCUCUUUGUUGUUUGGUUCAGGGAGAGUUUUGACUCAGUUAUCCUAGGCUAACUCGAUAUCCCAGGCUAGCCUCAUACUCAUGGAGGUCCUCCUGCUUCAGCUUCCCAAGUGCUAGGAGUCCAGGCGUGCGUGAACCAUCAUACCUGUGUUGAGCAUAUUUUAAAAAACAACUGCUGAGGGGUUGGGGAUUUAGCUCAGUGGUAGAGCACUUGCCUAGCAAACGCAAGGCCCUGGGUUCGGUCCCCAGCUCUGAAAAAAAGAAAAAGGAAAAAAAAAAUAAUCGCUGAGAACUCCAGCCCUUGUAGACAUCUGUUUGUACCGUGGUGGGUCAUUCCAGCAUCGAAAACGCAGUUGGCUAAACCCAAGUAGUACAGAAUGGACUUUUCUCCCUAGGUGGAGAAGAACCCAGUGGACAGGGCAGGGUGUGCUGGAACAUUUCUGUGUUAUCAGCAGUAGGGAUUUAGAAGCAAGAGGAUCCCGAGUUCAAGGCCAUCCUCUGCUACAUAGGAAAUCUGGGAUCACCAGAAGGGACCCUGUCUUUGAGCAGCUCCGUGGCCUAGGACAGGUCACUUGGUAUCUCUGGACUUUGUUUUCUCCACUGAGAAAAAAGGAGGGAGGAGGGCGGAGCAGCGAGCCUCCCAGCAUUGCGAUCUAUUUAGGCCUACGACUUCUUAUCUAUGACUCCAAAUGCCUAGAAGGACUGAAGACAAAAUAUAUUUAGCACAAAGGACCUGGUACCAGCCGUGUUUAUUCCCUCAUGAGAAAGUCCAAAGACUUCUAAACAUCAAGGUUUGAUUACAGUGUGCUGGACCAUACCCUCUGGGGCUGCUGGGAAAUACCGUAUGGCUUGGCUCUCCGCUACUUUUCAGAAACCCAAACGGCUGAAUAAUAAGCCAGGUGUGGUGGGGCUAACCUGUAAUUCCAGUACUUGGGAGACGGAGGCAGGAGAUGAGGAGUUCAAGGCUAGCCUGGGACAUACAAGUUGGGGGAGGCUAGCCUGAGCUACAUGAGACCUGGGUUUGUUUGUUUGUUUUUUAAUAAAUAAAUGAAUAAAAAUAAUAAAUAAAUAAAUAAAUAAAUAAAUAAAUAAAUAAAAUAAAGACAGGGCUGGAGAGAUGGAGGGCUCUGGUUUUAAGAGCGCAUACGGCUGUUGCAGAGGACCAGAGUUCAAUUCCCAGUAGCCACGUUGGGUGGCUCAACAAAAUCUGUAGCUCGGUGGUGGUGCGCACUUUCAGUCCCAGCACUCGGGAGGCAGAGCCAGGCAGAUUUCUGAGUUUGAGGCCAGCCUGGUCUACGGUGCGAGUUCCAGGACAAUCUAGGCGACACAGUGGAACCCUGUCUCAAAAACGAAAGAAGAGUCUGAGUUAUGAAACUCUGCCCAAAAGCAUUGAUGAAGAUUAUGCACGCCCCCGCCACGCCCCGCCACGCCCCCAAAAAGUUUGUUGGACUAGGCCCUCACCCUGUAGCCCCUCUGUGGCCUGAAACUACUCAUGUAGCCCAGGCUGGCCUAAAAAUCUCCGUGAACGUCCCACCUUAGUCUUCUUAGAGUUAGGAUUACAGAUACGAGCUAUGGCUUCCAAGAUUUCUUCUGGACACCAGCCCAACCGUUCAAAAGACCCCUAAGGACCUCCAGCCCAUUUUCCGUCUCCCUCCAGUAGAAAUGUCUACCCACUAGGCCUCCCCCAGACCCGUUCUCUGCCCUUGUCUCUCUGUUCCUCUCCAUCCUUCAUCCCAUUGAACUUAAAUGUUCCUUUUCACCCAUGCCGUGGUUGGGCAGAUGGCUUUGGUGAUGUCUCCUUUUCUGAAUGGCUCUGCAGUAUGGACCCGGCCAGCAGUUGCCUGCGGGGACGAAUGAAUGCACGAAGUGACUGGAUCUCUCUGUGCUCCAAAUACUGGCUUCGGACCGUCUGAGCAAACACCUGGCCUACUGCUUCAACCAUGCUGAAGCCCUGGGUUUUUCUCACUAGAAUGUUCCCUGCAGACCGAAUCCUAAAAUAAGGGCUUUCGUUUGCAAGACAACGCCAAUCUCCAAGGAGAGAAAAAGGAGUCCUAGGCGCAGGUUGGAAGCCACCGUCAGGGGCUGUCAAGACUGUGUGUCAUUUCCCUUUGGCCCAGGGCUGUCAUGGGACCUGGAGUCAAGUUGCAACUCUUCCCCAGCAGCCAGCUGAUCUUGGGGGCAGCCCCUUGUGACUUGCAGCCUGCAGUUUCCUCAUCCCGGACCUGAGGAUCAUGAAUGCUCCUUGGCAGGGUUGUGGAAAAGAUUUGGCAGGGAGUAUCGUCUGAACACGGCCGUGCAACCUGCAGCUGGAUCCGGUUAAUAGAAGAAAUUGCUUAGUCGAUGAGAGCUAACACGCCAACCCUAAACCAGCCAGCUUGACCCAGACGCACGGCUCAGACCUUGGUACCAACCCUGUCUCUUGUCACUUGCCAGCUCAACAAUGUGACCUUGAGUUAGCGUGCAUAGGCGGUUCUCCCCUGCGUGAGUGUUUAUAUGCACCACGUGUGUGCAGUGACGUCAGAGACCAGAAGAGGGCGUCAGAUCCCGCGGGACUGGAAUGACAGUUGUGCGUCACCUGUAGGUGGAGGAGAUUGAACUGGUCCUCUGUGUAAGCAAUAUCAAAUAUGAAUUUUUUUCUAUCAAAUACUAUAAAACCUGUUUGGGAUAUGGAAUUAAAAUUAUUAAUCUUGCCCACAUCCUAAAACUUAUAUGCAAAUGUUUAAAUCCCCUCAUCCAAUAAAGCCUUUCAAAGGCCCA